rnacentral:lncRNA from 1 species
CCUAAUUUAGUGCAAUUUCAUAUUCUCUACAGUCCACCCAGAAAUCAAAUCAUGCUUUAAUAAUUGCCCAGCAUGUAGGUUUCCAGUUCGCUAUUACCUUUAGGGAUCAUAAGGUUCAUAUUUAUCUCGAGUCUUGGCAAAUCGGUUCUCUCCCUCAUCAACCUAUUGGAACAUCUCAGAGCCAACCAUUCCAAUACCCGAGUUGUGGCUCAUUAACAUACAACCUUACAAUACUAGACAAGCUCUCAUAUCAAACACCUCUGUCAUCCUCUCAGAAGUGCCCAAAUAUGCCAAAAACUCGAACAUCGUACGAGAAAGGAAACAUAGAACAUGGAUGAAAACAUGGUAGACGCAAAGAAAGGGUGAACCAAAAAAAAUAUCAAUCAACAUAAACAGCUCCAUUUCUCAUAUUAAUCC